rnacentral:misc_RNA from 1 species
AAUCCGAGAAUUUCACCUCUGACAAUUAAAUACGAAUGCCCCCAACUGUCCCUCUUAAUCAUUACUUCGGCCCUGGAAACCAACAAAAUAGGACCGAGGUCCUCUUCCAUUAUUCCAUGCUAACGUAUUCAGGCGACGGCCUGCCUUGAACACUCUAAUUUGUUCAAAGUAAACGUCCCGAACUCCCCGACCACUGCAGUAAAGAGCAGUCGGGGCCUUCGAGAGGAAGGGCGCCCGACCAGUACUCGCCUCGCGGCGGACCAGCCGGGCCGCCCCGAAAUCCAACUACGAGCUUUUUAACUGCAACAACUUUAAUAUACGCUAUUGGAGCUGGAAUUACCGCU